CAGCAGUGGGGAAUAUUGCACAAUGGGCGCAAGCCUGAUGCAGCAACGCCGCGUGAACGAUGAAGGCCUUCGGGUUGUAAAGUCUUUCUUAGAGAAGAAUCCAUGACGGUAUCUAAGGAAUAAGCCCCGGCUAACUACGUGCCAGCAGCCGCGGUAAUACGUAGGGGGCAAGCGUUAUCCGGAAUCACUGGGCGUAAAGGGAGUGUAGGCGGUCAAGCAAGUCAGAGGUGAAAGGCAUCGGCUCAACCGGUGUAAGCCUUUGAAACUGUUUGACUUGAGUGCAGGAGAGGUAAGUGGAAUUCCUAGUGUAGCGGUGAAAUGCGUAGAUAUUAGGAGGAACACCAGUGGCGAAGGCGACUUACUGGACUGUAACUGACGCUGAGGCUCGAAAGCGUGGGGAGCGAACAGGAUUAGACACCCUGGUAG
rnacentral:rRNA from 1 species